rnacentral:rRNA from 1 species
GAUGAACGCUGGCGGCGUGCCUAAUACAUGCAAGUCGAGCGAACAGACGAGGAGCUUGCUCCUCUGACGUUAGCGGCGGACGUGUGAGUAACACGUGUAUAACCUACCUAUAAUACUGGUAUAACUUCGGGAAACCGGAGCUAAUACCGGAUAAUAUAUUGAACCGCAUUGGUCAAUAGUGAAAUACGGCUUUGCGGUCAGUUAUAGAUGGAUCCGCGCCUCAUUGUCUAGUUGGUAAGGUAACGGCUUACUAAGGGGACGAUGCGUAGCCGACUGGAGGGGGGGAUCGGGCCCACUGGAGCUGACAGACGGUCUAGAGUCCGACGGGAGGCAGAAGUAGGGAAUCUACCGAAAUGGGCGAAAGCCUGACGGAGCAACGGAGCGUGAGUGAUGAAGGUCUUCGGAUCGUAAAACUCUGUUAUUAGGGAAGAACAAAUGUGUAAGUAACUAUGCACGUCUUGACGGUACCUAAUCAGAAAGCCACGGUUAACUACGU